AUGGCGGCGGGGGGCGCGGCGGAUGCCCAGGCGCGCUUUGGCCACUCGGUGAAGGGGCUCCUGACCGAGAAGGUGACGAGCUGCGGCACCGACGUGAUCGCUCUCACUAAGCAGGUGCUGAAGGGCUCUCGUAGCGCCGAGCUGCUGGGUCAAGCUGCCAGAAACAUGGUGAUGCAAGAAGAUGCCAUCUUGCACUCGGAAGAUGUAAGCUGUGUUCUUGUGCUGGAGCAGCAGCGUUUCUGGGGACGGGAGGAGAGGAGGGUGGUAGGAAUGGUUUGCAGCCGUGCUACAACUGCUCCCGGAGCCCUGGAGUCAGAUACAUGACUUCAGGCAGCAGGGCUGGUGGCCAGAAUAACUUAGUGCUUCCUCAGACCCAGUGCUGCUGGACUCCUGAUGUCCUGCAGGCUGGCCAGCCCUCAAGCUGUGCCCUCUCUGACAGAAAGCUUGACGCACUGUGGGCUGAAAUAAAGCACUUGUGUCUCUGCCUGUCCCUGGGAAAGGAGAAGGAAGUGUGCCACUCCUGACAGAUACCAGUGAGGGUGUUUUGGAGGCAGUACAGCAAUACAGUGGUGGCUGUGCUGGAGGAACGCCCAGGGCAUUAGGACAGCUGCACUGUGAUCUCUGUAGGCAUUCAUUCUUUGUUUUGUUCUCCACAGAGUUUAAGAAAAAUGGCCAUAAUAACUACUCAUCUACAGUACCAGUAAGUAGGGGACACCAGUAAGUAGGUGUUCUCUCUUGGGGGCUGAGUGGAUCCCUCAGUCCUUCUCUGUUCUCCUUAAAGACUUUGCAUUAAGCUGCCAGCUCAGACUGAUCCCUCUUUUGCAGUUCUUCAAAGCUGAGCAGGCCUUGGAGCUGGAAUUUUCCAGCCCUCUUCCAGGCUGUUUUGGGGUGGGAGCUGAAAUUUUUGUCUCCUGUUUGCCAUGCACUGUAUCUCCCAUGCGUGUGUAUGAUGCACCUGGGACUAAGAAGGAGAAGCCAGUGCUGCUUCUGUCCCCCAGAACUUAAUCCAGAAACACCCUGGAGUUUUGGCCUCUUGAGCCCUUGUUUGACAUAACAUAAAUCAUGACUGAGAUUUUGUUUUUCUAAUGCUCUUUUUUUCUUUCCUUUCCUCCUCCAGGCAAGAAGCAAUUCAAAAGAACGUGGAGCGCUCGUCAAACCUUCAGGACCAGCUGAGUCACUUGCUGAAAUGAAGGGGAGCUGAAGGCUUGAGGAAAUCUCAACCAGCACUGAGGGAGUGAAGUGUUCUCCCCCCUCCAGCCCCUGGGGCUCAGAACUAUGUCUGGAUGAAGCUGGAUGUCAGCUGGGAUAGGUGCAGAGUCUGUGCUGCUGGGCACAUGGCCCCCUCUCGUGUUCCUGCAUCCACACCUCUGCUCCAGAAUGCUCACCUGCACAUCUGCACCUGGCUGAAACAAACUUCCCUGAAACUUUGCUCUUCCCCAUAAUCCCUGUGUCUGCUUACUUCCCAUGUAGCGUGAAGUGCUCAGCCCACCCCAGCACCCUUGGCAAGAGAUGCAGAGUUGAGGCAUGGCAUUUAAAUGCAGGUGCCUGCAGUUUGCCACUGGUCUGUAUUUAGCCACAGAGGUGGCACAGAGUGCAGUUUAUUUAGGGCAUUUUAAUCAGUGUGAGCUGCAAGUGCCUGGGUGGGUGAGGGGUACUUCAGUGUAGGCUGAGCUGCCAGUCCCAGCACAGAAUUUCUGAAACCAGGAACCUAAGCAUACACAUCUGCCAGUGGCCUAGCUGGAUGUGGUUUGACCAUCCUC